AUGGAUAUUUAAGAAGCAGCAUAUCUACUCGAGGAAAACAUGAGUAGAAUUACACAAAGCGCUAAUAAUGGUGAGAAAUAUAGCAGUAUCAGCAUAUGCCGAAGAGCUCAUUAUGAAAGGACCAAUAUGUGUAAUACUCAAUAAAUUGGCUUUGCUAGAUGAAAUACCAGUAGUGGAGGAUGUACUAAACAAUUUAGAGGACCAAGAACUUGAGAAACAAAAGUUAAGAUGGAAAUUCAUCCCUGAGAGAUCUAAGCAAAAUCAACAUAAGGAACAGCAGACCCAGCAUAGCAAUAUAAGUCAUCUUAUGAAACAGACAUUAUGGUGGAUGAGGGAAAAUUAAUACACUAUAAUG
rnacentral:lncRNA from 1 species